CCGCCGGCGACCGGCGCACGGGUGAGUAACGCGUAUGCAACCUGCCCGUUUCAGCGGGAUAACCCGGAGAAAUCCGGCCUAAUACCGCAUGUGGCCGAGGGGAGGCAUCUUCUUUCGGCCAAAGGAGGCAACUCCGGAGACGGAUGGGCAUGCGUGACAUUAGCUUGUUGGCGGGGUAACGGCCCACCAAGGCGACGAUGUCUAGGGGUUCUGAGAGGAAGGUCCCCCACACUGGUACUGAGACACGGACCAGACUCCUACGGGAGGCAGCAG
rnacentral:rRNA from 1 species